UGGGGAAUAUUGCACAAUGGGCGCAAGCCUGAUGCAGCCAUGCCGCGUGUAUGAAGAAGGCCUUCGGGUUGUAAAGUACUUUCAGCGGGGAGGAAGGGAGUAAAGUUAAUACCUUUGCUCAUUGACGUUACCCGCAGAAGAAGCACCGGCUAACUCCGUGCCAGCAGCCGCGGUAAUACGGAGGGUGCAAGCGUUAAUCGGAAUUACUGGGCGUAAAGCGCACGCAGGCGGUUUGUUAAGUCAGAUGUGAAAUCCCCGGGCUCAACCUGGGAACUGCAUCUGAUACUGGCUAGCUUGAGUCUCGUAGAGGGGGGUAGAAUUCCAGGUGUAGCGGUGAAAUGCGUAGAGAUCUGGAGGAAUACCGGUGGCGAAGGCGGCCCCCUGGACGAAGACUGACGCUCAGGUGCGAAAGCGUGGGGAGCAAACAGG
rnacentral:rRNA from 1 species